rnacentral:rRNA from 1 species
AAUCAACGCUGGCGGCGUGCCUCAGACAUGCAAGUCGAACGAUUAAAGCUCUCUUCGGAGAGUGCAUAAAGUGGCGCACGGGUGAGUAACACGUAAGUAAUCUACCCUCGGGUGGGGAAUAACGUCCGGAAACGGACGCUAAUACCGCAUAAUGCAGCGGCACCGCAAGGUGACAGUUGUUAAAGGAGAAAUUCGCUUGAGGAGGAGCUUGCGGCAGAUUAGCUUGUUGGUAGGGUAAUGGCCUACCAAG